rnacentral:rRNA from 1 species
CAAGUCGCACGAGAAAGGGGAGCAAUCCCUGAGUAAAGUGGCGCACGGGUGAGUAACACGUGACUAACCUACCUCCGAGUGGGGAAUAACUGAGAGAAAUCUUAGCUAAUACCGCAUAACACUUACGAGUCAAAGCAGCAAUGCGCUUGGAGAGGGGGUCGCGGCAGAUUAGUUAGUUGGCGGGGUAAUGGCCCACCAAGACGAUGAUCUGUAUCCGGCCUGAGAGGGCGCACGGACACACUGGAACUGAAACACGGUCCAGACUCCUACGGGAGGCAGCAGUGGGGAAUUUUGCGCAAUGGGGGAAACCCUGACGCAGCAACGCCGCGUGGAGGAUGAAAUAUCUUGGUAUGUAAACUCCUUUCGAUGGGGAAGAUUACGACGGUACCCAUAGAAGAAGCCCCGGCUAACUUCGUGCCAGCAGCCGCGGUAAUACGAGGGGGGCAAGCGUUGUUCGGAUUUAUUGGGCGUAAAGGGUGCGUAGGCGGUUUGGCAAGUCUGAUGUGAAAUCUAUGGGCUCAACCCAUAGUCUGCAUCANAAACUGCCGGGCUUGAGUAUGGGAGAGGUGAGUGGAAUUUCCGGUGUAGCGGUGAAAUGCGUAGAUAUCGGAAGGAACACCUGUGGCGAAAGCGGCUCACUGGACCAUAACUGACGCUGAUGCACGAAAGCUAGGGGAGCAAACAGGAUUAGAUACCCUGGUAGUCCUAGCCCUAAACGAUGAUUGCUUGGUGUGGCAGGUACCCAAUCCUGCCGUGCCGAAGCUAACGCGAUAAGCAAUCCGCCUGGGGAGUACGGUCGC